AAUCAGGUUCCAUAAUUAAAAUUUUAAUGUCCGAUACAUCCAGCAAAAGUCAAACAAAAUUUAAUCUAUACAUCCUGCGUUCUAAGAAAAAUCGAAAACUUCAACGCGGACAGCUACAAACUUGAACCAAUCAUACCCACACCAAAUUAAAUGAACAAGUGAACAAAUACUAAAACAAUUACUUUAAUAUAAAAAUAAAAUAAAAAAAAUAAAAGAUUGAUAGGAUCGAUUUUUUUUCAGACACAGCAUUAAAUGCUGCAUUUAAUUAGUGCAUGCAAAUCAUAUCCCUUCCUGACGAAGGAGAAUAAUUUGAGAUAAGAAUAGGUAGGCAACUUGCUGAGUAUGCAUAUCACUUUCACUGCCUUGGUGAGUACGCAUCUAGAGAUACAAUCAAUUUCUUUUAUUCACCCCCACAUCAUCACCACACAGUCUAUUUUCUCUGCACACACCAACUCACAAAAGAUAGAGGAGUCCGAUGGAGAUUGCACAACUAAAAAAAAACGACAACCCAACACUUUACUUUCUGCAUCAACAAGUUUUCAAAAAGGUUACGUUCGCAAGUAAAGUCGGAACGAAAGAUUCAAGUUAAGGGAACUAAACGAUCAAGGUUGAGCAGCGAAGUGGUGGAGGAAGUGCUAUUGAGACAAGACA